ensembl:lncRNA
UCCUAUUAAUAAACGGUUAAGGAAUGUGUAUUUAUGACGACGAUUUGUGAGACUGGUAAACUUAUGAUACGUACGAUGGUCUUUCGUUCUACACGGUGCAUUUCAAGGUCCUGCACCCAUCCGUCGGUAAACUGUACCUGGGCUUGUUGCAGUGACCUGAAGUUACUAAACUUCAUGAGUGUGUGCACUCACUCCAAGAACCGUAUGAUUAUAAAUAUGCAUAUAAAUAUGCUAAGAUGAGAUAGCUGACUUCAUCUAACUAGCAAAUGUUGUCCAGGCUACGUUGGUGAUACAGUUUUUUUUAAUGUGUAUGACAUUUUUGUCAUGCGAUUUUAAAGCUGGUCCUACAACCGCAUCCAAGAAUAACAUGCAGCUUAUCUCAGAACUGUCGGUGAAAAUUAUUCUUGGAGCUAGGUUUAAUUGAGCUGCAUUUUAAAGAGGUGCAAUUUCACAAUUUGUGUAUAUUUUCUAAGUUCACUAUUUUGUAUGUGUUGAGAAAAACACAGAUUUUAAAAUUACAUGGUCUAAUAUUUACAUUUAGCAUAACUGCAACAUGCCUUUUUUCUUUUUUUCUUUUUUUUAAAGACUCGAAAGGACUUGAAAUUCAAAGUUUCAGACUUGUGACUUGACUCGGACUUUUACACCAGUGACUUGAGACUCGACUCUGACUUGCCUGACAUUACUUGAGACUUGACUUGAGACUUGAGGAUAAAGACUUGAGACUUACUUGAGACUUGCAAAACAAUGACUUGGUCCCACCUCUGGGAAUAGUUACUGAAACGUGGUCCUAAUACACUGCUCAAAAAUCAGUCAAUCAAUCAAAUAAAGGAACACUUUGAAAACACAUCAGAUCUCAAUGGAGAAAACGUUAUGCUGGAUAAAUGAAAAUGAUGAAACUAUGGAGGGUUAAAUUUGAAGAAAGUCCAUUUUCCUAAAAUUCCAUUGCAGCAACUCACAGUGAUACUCAGCAGUUUGUGUGACCCCCACAUGCUUGCAUGCAUGACUGAUAAUGUCUGGAUAUGCUCGUAAUGAGAUGACGGAUGAUGUCCUAGGGGACAUUCACACCAGUGUCCUGCUGGAGGUCGUUUUGUAGGGCUGUAGCAGCGAUCGUCCUGUUCCUCCUUAAACAAAGGAGCAGAUACUGGUCCUGCUGAUGGGUUAAGGACCGGCUGUACUAGACUAACUGCCAGUGUCCUGGAAUCUCCUGCAUGAUGUUAAAACUGUGCUGGGAUUCAC